AUUGAACGCUGGCGGCAUGCCUUACACAUGCAAGUCGAACGGCAGCACGGGAGCUUGCUCCUGGUGGCGAGUGGCGAACGGGUGAGUAAUACAUCGGAACGUACCCAGGAGUGGGGGAUAACGUAGCGAAAGUUACGCUAAUACCGCAUAUUCUGUGAGCAGGAAAGCGGGGGAUCGCAAGACCUCGCGCUCUUGGAGCGGCCGAUGUCGGAUUAGCUAGUUGGUGAGGUAAAAGCCCACCAAGGCGACGAUCCGGAGCAGGUCUGAGAGGAUGAUCUGCCACACUGGGACUGAGACACGGCCCAGACUCCUACGGGAGGCAGCAGUGGUGAAUUUUGGACAAUGGGGGCAACCCUGAUCCAGCCAUGCCGCGUGAGUGAAGGAGGCCUUCGGGUUGUAAAGCUCUUUCGGCGGGGAAGAAAUGGCAACGCCUAAUAUCCGUUGUUGAUGACGGUACCCACAUAAGAAGCACCGGCUAACUACGUGCCAGCCGCCGCCGUAACAC
rnacentral:rRNA from 1 species